rnacentral:lncRNA from 1 species
GCAGACUAACGAUAUACCGGCUGUAAGAAUAUACUAAUACUUUUAGAUACGCUAAAGUUGCAAAAUUCAACUUAUUCAUUAAUAUUCAAUAGCCUGCGCACGGACUAUUUUAUAAUUCACCCUUUCGAUAAUUACGUCACACAUACUUUUUAGUCUUCGAGCCUCGCUCUCACUAGUAAAUUACGCAAGGUGAUUGGCUCACGGAUCAUGACAGCGAGGCUCCCAG